UCUUCACCAUUUCUCACCCCUGCAGCCCCAUUUUCACACAGCCACUGAAGGUAAUAGAGCAAGAUAAUUCAUUCCAUUCAAUUCUUCUUCACAACAAUUCUAACUUAUGUGAUAUACCAAAUCUGCAGAGACAAGCAACAUUCACCACCAAUCCAAGGUUUUUCCCUAUUUCACUUUUACAGAGAAUCACCAAUUCAUACACGCCUGUUUGAUGUUUCACAACAAGUUUACAUAUGUACAUAUGAGCUGAAAUUUAUACACUGAGUGUUUUAUUGCAAGAAAAGAAUUUCAGAUUUUAUAAGCAUUUCAGUACAUGAUAUUUAUAAUUUCAUAUUUACAGUGUAUGACUUUGCAGUAUAUGUUUUUACACAAAAACCUUAUGCUAAGUGUUUGACUGAAAUCUGGGGUGAGCCCCUGUAUUGUGUGAGAUCCGAGAGAGACAGCAGCCGCGGUGGCUGCCGAUGGUCGACGGAAGGCGGCGGAGCCACGUGGUGGUUUCCGUUCUGCCAUAGAGGAGAAAGAGGAGAGGGGUUUCAGAUUUUAAUUUAGAAAAGGGAAAAAGGUAGAAAAAGGAAUUGAAAGGGAAUUAGGGCCUACCUGAGGCUUCGCCGGACGACGGAGGCGGCGGCGUCCUGGCCGGUCUGUCCACCGGCGAGAAGAGGAGAGGCGGUGGCGCGGCUUACGCGGUGGCUGCGUCUGUGUGUCUCUGUUCCGGCAGUGCGAAAGUAGAGAGAAGGAGAGAACGAGCGUGUAGAGGAAGAAGAGAGAGGUGGUGGCCGUGGUCUUGACGCGGCAGCGGAUCUGCCGCGAGACGACGGAGGCAGCGGCGGCGCACCGCUUUGACGGCGGCGUGCGUCCUGUUUCCAGCAGAUAGAGAGUAGAGAGAGAGGCGAGAGGAUAGGAAGAAGAGAGUCCGAGAGAGAGAGGGAGAGCCGCGCCGCUCGCCGGCGGCGACGGCGCCGAUGACGGCGAGGCGCGGCGCGGAGAGCGGACAAGAGGCGAGAGAGAGAGAGUGUGGGAAGGAGGCGCAGUGUGUGUGUGUGUGUGAAAUGUGUAUGUGUGUGUGGUUAUAUUUAGGGUUUGAGGAAUGAUGGGUUUUGGGCCGGGUUUUGGGCCGGUUUUGGGCCGGGUUUUGGGCCGGGUUUUGGGCCGUUUUUAAUAAGUAUUUGGGCUUUUAUUUAAUUGUUGGGCUUCCUCUUAAUUUAUUUACUGAUGGGCUUCUUUCAUUUAAAAUUUGGGCCUAUUUUAAUUUAAAUGUUUGGGCCUUGAUUAAAGAAAAUAUAAUGGACCUAAUUUAUCUAAUUAAUUUGGGCUUAUAUCUAUUUAAAUUAUUUGAGCUCUUAAUUAUUAAAUUUAAAUUGAGCUUGAUUAAUUUAAUUAUAUAUUGACCUUUAAAUUAAUUAUUUAAAUGGAGUUCUUUUAUUUCAAGUAUUUUUAUAAAUGGACUUUAAAAUAAAAUAUUUUGAGUUAAACUCUUAUUUAAAUUAAUUCUUUUCAAAAUGACUUAUUAAUAUGGAUUAUUUGAAAAUGAUUAAAUGAUUUUAAAUAUGAGAAAGCAUGAUCUAUGAUGAUAUAAUUUAUCUAUGUGAUAUUAUAGGAUUUGUUUUUAAAUGACGGAAUAUUUAACUUGAUGACAUAAAUAGAACGAGUUAUGAUUAAUGCGCAUGUUGAUGUUCGAAUAAAUAGUUUCGAACCUAAAUGUUAGUUAUGUGAUAAAUGUUUUGAGUUUAAGGUUUUGACGAGACAAGAUUAAUAUGGAUGCUAGAACCCUAAAAUCAUUAAAAAGGAGAUAGUUUAGUUUAGAGACCUAUCUUCCUUUCUUACACGACUUUCUUCUCGAACUUAUCGACUCUUCGUCAAUAAAGGUCCAGACGGGAAGUGAAAGCUAAAGAAGGAGGUAACUCUACGCCCCUAGUGGGAACGGAAUGAGGUGGGCUUUCUUAAAACACGUAUAUAGAGAUCCCCUGCAUACAGGCCUCUUAUACGAAAUGAAAUGAAUGAAGUGAUAUAACUGUGAUAUUUCAAAUGGUAAAUGGUUCUUAUUAAAUGAAAUGUUUAUGGAAAUGAUUAAAUGAUGAAUGGUUCUUAUGAAAGGAAAGGAAAUGUUUAUGAAAUGAUUGUCUGCCAAAAAUGUUUAUGUUUUAUGUAUGUAUCCUAUCUGUGUUGGUUCGCCAACUAUAAAGGAAAUCGAAUUCGGACCCUACGCUAGACGAAGGUUUGCUAGUAAGGGUUAACGUGUACACUCAUGGAGACUGUGUGUCGCUUGCGACCGGUCUUGGCGUCCGUGGAAGGAGGCCUCCUUCCCGGCGCGUUAAAGGAACAGAUAUGGAUCAUAUAGACCGAAAAUGGGAUGCGCAUCCAACUUUAUAAAAUGAAAGAAAAUGUUUAGUAAGCACAGGUCCUUCAAGUAAAACCCUGUGUGUUACUGUUGGCAGUACAAUAAAUGAUAUAAAAUGUUAUAUUUCCGGCAUAUGUUCACUGAGUAUUUUUACUCAGCCCUGCAUGUUGUUUUCCCUAAUGUGCAGGUUGAGCGGGUGAUGGAAUGGAGUGGA
rnacentral:lncRNA from 1 species